rnacentral:rRNA from 1 species
GGAUUGUAAAUUCCUUUUGUUGGGGAAGAUAAUGACGGUACUCAACUAAGAAGCCCCGGCUAACUACGUGCCAGCAGCCGCGGUAAUACGUAGGUGGCAAGCGUUAUCCGGAUUUACUGGGUGUAAAGGGAGCGCAGGCGGGAAGACAAGUCUGAAGUGAAAUCCAGGGGCUCAACCCAUGAACUGCUUUCGAAACUGUCUUUCUUGAGUACUGCAGAGGUAGGCGGAAUUCCUGGUGUAGCGGUGAAAUGCGUAGAUAUUGGGAGGAACACCAGUGGCGAAGGCGGCCUACUGGACGCCAACUGACGCUGAGGCUCGAAAGCGUGGGGAGCAAACAGGAUUAGAUACCCUGGUAGUCCACGCCGUAAACGAUGAUUUCUAGGAGUUAAAUGAUUGACCCCUUCAGCACCGCCGUUAACCCUUUCAGUAAUCCACUUGGUGAGUAAGACCGCAAGUUUAAAACUCAAAGGAAUAGCCGCGCCCCCCACAAGCCAUGUAGUAUGUGUUUUAAUUAGACGCAGCGCGUUGACCCGUCCCGAGUUUCGUCAUCCUGAGUCGCACAUAGAUAUAUCUGUUUCGUCCGAGAAGCCAAGACAGGCAGUGCAUGGUUGUGGUCAGCUCGUGUGAUGAGAGGUUGAGUCAAGUCCCGCACGGAGCCCAUCUCUCCAUUUCCCUUCGUAUGCACGAGGCAUUUGGCAGGGCUUCCCUGGGCUAACCGGAGGAAGGUGGGGGAGACGUCCAAUUCUUCUUCCCCUUUUUACUUUGGGUUCCCCCGUUGUUCCAAGGGGUUAAACAAAGAGAAGCGAGCCCGCGAGGGGGAGCAAAUCUCAGAAACAACGUCCCAGUUCGGACUGCAGUCUGCAACUCGCCUACACGAAGUUGGAAUCGCUAGUAAUCGUGGAUCAGCAUGCCGCGGUGAAUACGUUCCCGGGCCUUGCACUCACCACCCGUCAA